CCUGCUUCUGGGUCGGGGUUUCGU
rnacentral:piRNA from 6 species